AGAGUUUGAUUAUGGCUCAGGACGAACGCUGGCGGCGUGCCUAACACAUGCAAGUCGAACGAAGCAUUGGAAGCUUGCUUUUGAUGCUUAGUGGCGGACGGGUGAGUAACGCGUGAGCAACCUGCCUUUCAGAGGGGGAUAACGUUUGGAAACGAACGCUAAUACCGCAUAACAUAUCUGGGUCGCAUGAUUGAGAUAUCAAAGGAGCAAUCCGCUGAAAGAUGGGCUCGCGUCCGAUUAGCUAGUUGGCGGGAUAACAGCCCACCAAGGCGACGAUCGGUAGCCGGACUGAGAGGUCGAACGGCCACAUUGGGACUGAGACACGGCCCAG
rnacentral:rRNA from 1 species